GUCCCUGUAGCGCAGCUGGAUAGCGUACUGGCCUCCGAAGCCAGGGGCCUGGGUUCGAAUCCCAGCAGGGAUA
rnacentral:tRNA from 1 species